UAGGGAAUCUUCCGCUAUGGGCGAAAGCCUGACGGAGCAACGCCGCGUGAGUGAUGAUGGUCUUCGGAUCGUAAAACUCUGUUAUUAGGGAUGAACAAAUGUGUAAGUAACUAUGCACGUCUUGACGGUACCUAAUCAGAAAGCCACGGCUAACUACGUGCUAGCAGCCGCGGUAAUACGUAGGUGGCAAGCGUUAUCCGGAAUUAUUGGGCGUAAAGCGCGCGUAGGCGGUUUUUUAAGUCUGAUGUGAAAGCCCACGGCUCAACCGUGGAGGGUCAUUGGAAACUGGAAAACUUGAGUGCAGAAGUGGAAAGUGGAAUUCCAUGUAUAGCGGUGAAAUGCGCAGAGAUAUGGAGGAACACCAGUGGCGAAGGCGACUUUCUGGUCUGUAACUGACGCUGAUGUGCGAAAGCGUGGGGAUCAAACAGG
rnacentral:rRNA from 1 species